UACGGAGGGGGCUAGCGUUGUUCGGAAUUACUGGGCGUAAAGCGCACGUAGGCGGCUUUGUAAGUUAGAGGUGAAAGCCCGGGGCUCAACCCCGGAAUUGCCUUUAAGACUGCAUCGCUUGAAUCAUGGAGAGGUGAGUGGAAUUCCGAGUGUAGAGGUGAAAUUCGUAGAUAUUCGGAAGAACACCAGUGGCGAAGGCGACUCACUGGACAUGUAUUGACGCUGAGGUGCGAAAGCGUGGGGAGCAAACAGG
rnacentral:rRNA from 1 species